GCACUCAUCACAAAACCUAACUCGCAAGCUUGCAUCUAAUUAGCCUUUCUUAGGACGACGAAUAUCCGUCAUUUUUGGGUAGCAUCUAAUUCUCGUUAACCAAUGCAGACAAUUAAAACAAUGUGAAAAGCAUUUUUUCAAAAUAAACUAUUAACCAUUUUCAAAGCAAAUUUACCAUUAUUCGUGCGAAAAAGUAUAAAAAGUUGCUGUUAUGUGGACUUAUCUCGCAGACUUCGACUGAAAAUCCACCAAAAAAAAGGCAGCGUGAGGAAGGCUAAUUGAAUAAAACUGUCGAUCACUGUGAUCGGUGGAAAGAAUUCGUAGCGAGCUUAUGAGUUGACUCUAGCGAUGUAUGGAGCCGAGAGGCUUGAGGGACCGUCAUUAUUUAUACCCUAGGGUGGGGUGGGAGUUUCUUAUGUCAAAUACAAAAAUCUUGUAACCCUCCCCCCUUUGAUGAUCUGAAUGUUGAAAACCCCCUCUACAAAAAAUACUGGAAAGUUUUUACCACACCCCCAGUUUGUAUGAAUGUUUUAAUACUGUAAAGAAUACAGUAUAAGUCAAGAAUUAUUGUUUCCUUGCAUAUUUUUGCAUUCAAAUUAUAUUAUCUGUAUUUAAGGGAUAAUGUAAGUUUUCGCAAAUUUCUUAUAUAAAGUGUUUUUAAUAAUUCCUUUGCGAACCUUGCCGUAUUGAACAUUGUAGUUCACAUUCGAGAUAUUUAUCAGGGUGUGUUAAACUAUAUAAAGUAUAACAAGCUAUUAAUGCGCACAACUUAAACUGGCAUUUAUAAAUUUAUUUAAAGGUCAUUUAAACACACUUUUUUAGUUCAAAGUUAGUUCAAAGCCGGUUUAACCCUUUAAGUGUGCCCUACUUUACUUUUUAACCAUAUUUUAUUUUACUCAGUCUAUAACGCCAGGCGAGUUUACUCAUCCUGGGGAGAGUGCUGCCACUCAAUGGGUUGACUAUCUGCCUAAGCAUCAUGUCAACCCUUUAAGUUGCAAUGCGCCUACAUACACCCACGUUACUCUACUCUACUCUACUCUACUCUACUCUACUCUACUCUACUCUACUC